rnacentral:lncRNA from 1 species
ACAAAGGGCUUGCUCUACCAUAUACCAAGCUAGUUUUUUCCGAUACUAUAUACUUGGUCGAUGCAAUGGAGGAUGGAAAAUAAUUGUGGAAGACUAUAAGUCUGCUCUUGGAUCUAGUAACAUCAGUGUGAAAGGAGUUGGACCAUUUGGAGCGUGGUUUUCUUUAAAAUCGAUGUCGCACUUGAUAACUAUGUUUCUUUAGAAACAAAACAAAAAAAAAAAAAAAAAAGAAAAAAAAAAAACAUGGCUAGAGUUGUUGAGGGUUACCAGAGGUAUUUCAUUAACUUUUUUUUAGUAAUUUCACUCCUUAUUGGGUCAAUCAAGUAAUUUCACUCUUUAUUAGUAAUUUACAUCUUAACAUAUGUGCAUAUAAGUUGAUUAUUGCAGCCUUUCAAGAGGCAUGUUGAGAUGGGAAGAAUCACUCUCGUUGGCUACGGAAAUAAGUUAUUGAUCAAAACAGGGUAUAUUCAUUGUGUUACUAGUUUGAUUUGAUUAUCGACAACUGUUGUAUGUUUAUUUAGGUUUUUGUGUUUGUGUUUGUAUGUGUGGUUUUAGAUUAGUUAAAUGGUUGUUUAAGGAUUGAUUUGAUUGUUUUGGAGUUAAGGGGACAGGAUAUUGGGAGUGUUUGAUGAUUCAGGUCAUUUUGAUUUUGAAAGGUAGUAAUGUUAAACUGUUAAUGUACUGGUUGAUUUCUACGAGUUAG